UUGGGAGAGUGCGUGAAGCAUGGAAAUGGACAUGGGGAGGUUUCAGGGCGAUUGGCACUGAGGGGACUGGGAUAUGAAUUGUUAUAGGUGGUAGCCUGGGUAGCAUUUGGCUAUGGAAGUAGACUAUUUCAAUAAAUUUGUUUAGUUCUUGCAAGGAAGCGAAGGAGGGGAAGGGGCCGAUGCGAAAUAGUUAUGUGCUUAUUGUACGUAUGCUGCUUUCUAUUUCCGUGAUGUGAUGUUAGAUGUUGUGUUUUUAUUUUAUGGGAUGUAGCUCUUGAUCUAUUUGGCGUUGUCAUCCACAAGGUGUGAAAAAAAAUAAGGAGGUUCAAGGGUUCCAGGAAGGAAAUUAUCGAGCUGGGCCAGAAAAAUCACACAAGAGGAGGUGGGGGGGGAACGAAAUAUACUCUGGCAUUCGUUUAUACAAUCCUCAUUAUUGCUAUUGCCCUAAUACCUAAACAAUCCAGGUACA
rnacentral:sRNA from 2 species